UUACGCUACACGCUCUUCUAGUCUGAUUGACGUGUUUUGGUAUGGAGGAUGCCUGGAGAACGCAUAUUACCUGAGUGUGUUGUCCCAACAGUGAAGUUUGGAGGUGGCGGUAUCAUGGUCUGGGGGUGUUUCUCGUAGUGUGGACUAGGUCCACUGAUCGCAGUGCAUGGAUACAUGAAUGCUGAGUCCUACAUUAAUGUUCUGAACAAUUCUGUGUGUCCUACAUUGUGGCAAUUUUAUGGUUCUGGCUCUUACACCUUCCAACAUGAUAACGCUCCAUGUCACAAAGCAAGGAUUGUGAAUGCGUGGUCCUCACAGAGCCCCGACCUCAACCCAAUAGAACAUCUUUGGGAUGAACUGGAACACAGAAUUAGGGUAAGGCCAAGACGGCCCUCUUCAGUAAUGGAGCUUACUAAUGCUUUAAAGGAGGAGUGGAGCAUAAUACCACCAGCUUUCUACUAGAAAUUAGUAGACAGUCUUCCACGACGCAUUGAAGCGGUCAUUAAGGCCAACACGCUGUUAAUUUCUUGGAAUAAAAAACAUGUUUUAUUCAUAACUACCCGUGUCCCAUGACUUUUGGUAGCAUAGUGUAUAUUGUUAAACUAAAUAAGUACUGUCACAGAUAAUUUAUAUUUAUGUAGGAAAUUGACCCACUAUCGAGCAGCAGUGAAGAUCUCAACGAAUUAGAGAUAAGCGUGCCAACAAUUAGGCGGAAUUUACUUCCCUUCGUGGCCUCUGUCUGUUGAAGAGACUGAAGCUCUGACUACUGUAAGUUGUUUUCAUACCAUUUAUAUUGAUUAACACGAAUUUCUAUACAAAAAUGAUCAAUAUAUUGAACAGCAUGCUGAAAAGGAAGAAGUGCAACUGUCCCCUGAAAACAAAGUUUAAUCCAGGCAGAAGGUCAGUUGCAAAACUUUGACUUAACUCUUUCUGGGGUCGUUGGGGUAUGUCCGAGGACAAAUCACAACUGACCUACGUAACUUCUAUUAAAGAAUAUCAUUCGUUAAUGAACAAUAACACCAAAAUUAUAACAGAUAUUACUUUAAUUAAUGAAGAAGUUAUAGCUCUUCAUUGGAAACAUAAACACGAAUAUCUGCCACAGAAAGAUCAAACCAACAUCUUUCUGGCGGCUUUCACAACAUCACAUGUAGAAAAUUAUAGAAAAGAUAGGUUCGUCUGUUUUGUAUUGAUACAGAUAGUAUUGUCUACAUUUCAGACGGAUCUAACGACCCACCUCUAGGAGAUUAUCUUGGAGAGUUUACAGACGAGCUGGGCGGACACUAAAUAACAUCGUGGGUCAGUGGUGGUCCAAAAAACUAAGUUUAUUUACGCAACGACGCAAAGUCAUGCUGUAAGAUCAGAGGGUUUAUCCGUAAUUUCAUCAACGGUUAAAAGUUAAAUUUUUCAUCAAUAAAAUGUAUGAUAACCGAUAUAUUCAGUUCUUUUCAGCCUCCUACAACUGUAACUAAUCAUACGAUUUGCACAAACUUAAAGACACAGACAAUUUACAACAAAGAAGAAUUAUCGUCCAGUUUACACCAAACGACACAUCCUUCCAGACUCUAAUACUCUUCCAUAUGGAUACUGACUUUUUUUUGUAUCACAUGGAACUAACUCCUCGCCAUGGUCUACAGACCGAAAAGAGGCCAUGUGCAGGGCCAUUGAGGUGGUUCCCAAGUGCACUCAAACAUGAUCUAUAUAAGCAAAACAAAUGUUUCCAUCACGUAUCAAGAUGCAACGAGACAACCAUAUGGUUACUUACUCAUCGAUUUGAAACCUCAAACGCCUGAGCAGUUCAGUUUGAGGACCGGACUUUUUCCUGAAGGUAAAGUUAUAAUAUGCUGAUCGUCGUCAGUGUAACUGGGUGAUACAGCACAUUCGUAACAUUCCAUGGUAAUAUUGACUAUCCCUACCUGUGGAGUGUGGCUAGAUUAUUGAGAGAAAA